CGUUUUUCCGGCUAAUCCCCACCCCUUAACCGAACUCGGCCGAGGAAGAAAGGAAAAGGCAACUGGGGGCGGGGCAAAGCGCGGAAGCGGAAGCCGUGGCGGCGGAGCUGGGCUACACGUGUGCGAGUUGCUAUAAUGGAAGUCAAAGGGAAAAAAAAAAUCACAGGAAAAGGUACAAAGCCAUCACAAGAAAAAAACAGAUUUCAUAAAAACAGUGAUUUUGGUUCUGCAAAGACUUUCCCAAAAAAAGUUGUUAAGGAAGGUGGACCUAAAAUCACAACUAAGAACUUUGAGAAAACUGCCACAAAACCUGGGAAAAAAGGCGUGAAGCAGUUCAAGAAUAAGCAGCAAGGGGAUAAAAUACCAAAGAACAAAUUCCAGCAGGCAGAUAAAUUCAACAGGAAGAGAAAAUUCCAGCCAGACAGUAAAAAUGAUGACACAGCAGUCAAGAAACCCAAAUGGGAUGAGUUCAAAAAAAAGAAAAAAGAACUGAAGCAGAGCAGGCAACUCAGUGAUAAAACCAACUACGACAUUGUUGUUCGGGCAAAGCAGAUCUGGGAGAUCUUAAGAAGAAAAGAUUGUGACAAAGAAAAAAGAGUGAAGUUGAUGAAUGAUUUGCAGAAGUUGAUUCAAGGGAAAAUUAAAACUAUUGCGUUUGCACAUGAUUCAACUCGUGUGAUCCAGUGUUACAUUCAGUAUGGCAACGAAGAGCAGAGGAAACAGGCUUUUGAAGAACUGCGAGGUGAUUUGGUUGAAUUAAGUAAAGCUAAGUAUUCCAGAAAUAUUGUUAAGAAGUUUCUCAUGUAUGGGAGUAAAGCACAGAUUGCAGAGAUAAUGAGAAGCUUUAAAGGUCACGUGAGGAAGAUGCUGCGGCAUGCGGAAGCGUCCGCCAUCGUGGAGUACGCCUACAAUGAUAAAGCCAUCUUGGAGCAGAGGAACAUGCUGACAGAAGAGCUCUAUGGGAACACAUUUCAGCUUUACAAGUCAGCAGAUCACCCAACUCUGGACAAAGUAUUAGAGGUACAACCAGAAAAACUAGAGCUUAUCAUGGAUGAAAUGAAACAGAUUCUAACUCCAAUGGCCCAGAAAGAAGCUGUGAUUAAGCACUCACUGGUACAUAAAGUAUUCUUGGACUUUUUUACCUAUGCACCCCCAAAGCUGAGAUCAGAAGUGAUUGAAGCCAUCCGAGAAGCAGUGGUAUACCUGGCGCACACACACGAUGGUGCCAGGGUGGCCAUGCACUGCCUGUGGCACGGCACGCCCAAGGACAGGAAAGUGAUUGUGAAAACAAUGAAGACUUAUGUUGAAAAGGUGGCUAAUGGCCAAUACUCCCACUUGGUUUUAUUGGCGGCCUUUGACUGUAUUGAUGAUACUAAGCUUGUGAAGCAGAUAAUCAUAUCAGAAAUUAUUAAUUCCUUGCCUAACAUAGUAAAUGACAAAUAUGGAAGGAAGGUCCUGUUGUAUUUACUAAGCCCCAGAGAUCCUGCACACACGGUAAGAGAGAUCAUUGAAGUUCUGCAGAAAGGAGACGGUAACGCACACAGUAAGAAAGAUACAGAGAUCCGCCAACGAGAACUCUUAGAAUCCAUUUCUCCAGCUUUGCUAAGCUACCUGCAAGGACACGCCCAAGAGGUGGUGCUGGAUAAGUCUGCGUGUGUGCUUGUGGCUGACAUCCUGGGAGCUGCCAUUGGAGAUGUGCAGCCCGCCAUGAAUGCCGUCGCCAGUUUGGCAGUGGCAGAGCUGCAUCCUGGUGGCAAGGAUGGAGAGCUUCACGUUGCAGAACAUCCUGCAGGACAUCUAGUUCUGAAGUGGUUAAUAGAGCAAGAUAGAAAGAUGAAAGAAAGUGGACGAGAAGGUUGUUUUGCAAAAACACUCGUAGAGCUUGUUGGUAUGAAGAACCUGAAGUCCUGGGCUAGUGUCAAUCGAGGAGCCAUUAUUCUUUCCAGCCUUCUCCAGAGCUCUGAUCAAGAUGUUGCAAAUAAAGUCAAAGCUGGAUUGAAAAGCCUUAUUCCCACAUUGGAAAAAAGCAAAAACACCAGCAAAGGAAUAGAAAUGCUACUUGAAAAACUGACUGCCUAGGUAGAAACUGCUAAGAACAAGUUGGAGUCAUUUUUCCUCUUCUGUUUUCCCAGUACAGAAAAGAAGGGCUAGGGUCCAUCUUACUGGGGAGAAGACAUCUUCAGUGAACAGUAGUCUGAGAGGGCUUCAUGGAGGAGGAGGAACCUGAGAGUUUCCUGCUUCAGAGGAAGGCAGGAUGUGGUAAAGGAGAGCCACGGGGAGUCCUUGGUGGGAGCAGUGAGGUGGCAGUCAAUGGUUUUGAACUGAACUUCAGGAAGGCUUGGGGCUUGUUGGGUACCGUCAUGGGGAUACUCUGCAUCCAGGACAGCUGCAUUCCUAGCUGCCUUAUGGAUUGGGUGCCAUGUUAGAUUUUAUUUGAAACAAGCCACUCCAGGGAGUUAAGAUUUUUAGGAGGAAAUGUGCUGAAUGAAUUAGGGGAUCAUAGUGGGUAGCAGUGUUAAGGUCAUUGUCACAGGAGAGAUUUUCCUGUCUUUGAAACUGGGCCUUCCAAGUAAAUAGCUCCUUGUAGUGAGACUUUCUCUCUUGGGACUUUCCCUGAAGUAGUUGAGGCCUACAGGGUUUGAGUUAGAAGGAUAUGCAAUUUGUUAAUAGUGCAGAAGUUGGAAUUUAAGUACAAGUAGGAUGUUUGAAUUUUAAAACUACACUUGGCUUCCAAGCAACAAAGCUUGGAAGGAUUGGUGAACCUUGGAAGAGUUCAUGGCCAGGCUCAUGUAGCCCUGCCUAUGAAUACCUGACUGCUUUCGAAACCAGGCCUUGGGGCUUCCUCUAAGUAGCCUGAUGUCACAGGACACCCACUCAGGUCUGUCACUGCAGUUACACCUCAGGUGAACAGCUGUGCCUUUCCUACCAGACCGCUGGGUCCCAGGACUACUCCCAAUGGAUGAGCUGCCAGGACGUUACCUGCUGCCCUCUCCUGUGGGUGCAUUGAACCCUGCAGGAGCAAAAGAGCCGAUGCCUGGCCCAUUUGGAAAGAGAGGGGGACAGAAAUUCUGCUGUUUGUUCCAUCUGUAAGACUAAAAAAAUAACAUCCGUAGUUUGGAAAGUUCGAAUAUUAUGAAGCAUAUAACGAAAGAAGAAAUUCUUCUUCUGCCCCACUCCUCCACACCCCUGCCUUGUCCUCCCCAGAAGCAACGACUUUCAGUUCUUUUUAGCUCUGCUAAGUUUUUAAAUAUAUGAUUUUUGUGGGUUAAAAAAAAAAAUCUAUCCGUUUUAGGCAUUUUCUUUUAACUUCCUGUUCUGGAAAAAUACAGAUUGAGACUUCACCACCACUGUCUCCCUACUCCUUUUCUUUCCAUUUUCCCAGUAGAAUUGCAUCAUCUUUGAUAAAUUGAUGUUCAGUUUAUAUGAUUAUGUUGACGUCAGUUGUUAAAUACUGAAGGAAGUAGUGAGUUGUCAUGACAUUUCCUAUACCAUUUUUUUUCCUGGAAUUAAUAAAUUGCCUCGUUUAUUUUUA